UCGAGCGGUAGCACAGAGAGCUUGCUCUCGGGUGACGAGCGGCGGACGGGUGAGUAAUGUCUGGGAAACUGCCUGAUGGAGGGGGAUAACUACUGGAAACGGUAGCUAAUACCGCAUAAUGUCGCAAGACCAAAGUGGGGGACCUUCGGGCCUCAUGCCAUCAGAUGUGCCCAGAUGGGAUUAGCUAGUAGGUGGGGUAACGGCUCACCUAGGCGACGAUCCCUAGCUGGUCUGAGAGGAUGACCAGCCACACUGGAACUGAGACACGGUCCAGACUCCUACGGGAGGCAGCAGUGGGGAAUAUUGCACAAUGGGCGCAAGCCUGAUGCAGCCAUGCCGCGUGUGUGAAGAAGGCCUUCGGGUUGUAAAGCACUUUCAGCGGGGAGGAAGGCGUUAAGGUUAAUAACCUUGGCGAUUGACGUUACCCGCAGAAGAAGCACCGGCUAACUCCGUGCCAGCAGCCGCGGUAAUACGGAGGGUGCAAGCGUUAAUCGGAAUUACUGGGCGUAAAGCGCACGCAGGCGGUCUGUCAAGUCGGAUGUGAAAUCCCCGGGCUCAACCUGGGAACUGCAUUCGAAACUGGCAGGCUAGAGUCUUGUAGAGGGGGGGUAGAAUUCCAGGUGUAGCGGUGAAAUGCGUAGAGAUCUGGAGGAAUACCGGUGGCGAAGGCGGCCCCCUGGACAAAGACUGACGCUCAGGUGCGAAAGCGUGGGGAGCAAACAGGAUUAGAUACCCUGGUAGUCCACGCCGUAAACGAUGUCGAUUUGGAGGUUGUGCCCUUGAGGCGUGGCUUCCGGAGCUAACGCGUUAAAUCGACCGCCUGGGGAGUACGGCCGCAAGGUUAAAACUCAAAUGAAUUGACGGGGGCCCGCACAAGCGGUGGAGCAUGUGGUUUAAUUCGAUGCAACGCGAAGAACCUUACCUGGUCUUGACAUCCACAGAACUUAGCAGAGAUGGUUUGGUGCCUUCGGGAACUGUGAGACAGGUGCUGCAUGGCUGUCGUCAGCUCGUGUUGUGAAAUGUUGGGUUAAGUCCCGCAACGAGCGCAACCCUUAUCCUUUGUUGCCAGCGGUUAGGCCGGGAACUCAAAGGAGACUGCCAGUGAUAAACUGGAGGAAGGUGGGGAUGACGUCAAGUCAUCAUGGCCCUUACGACCAGGGCUACACACGUGCUACAAUGGCAUAUACAAAGAGAAGCGACCUCGCGAGAGCAAGCGGACCUCAUAAAGUAUGUCGUAGUCCGGAUUGGAGUCUGCAACUCGACUCCAUGAAGUCGGAAUCGCUAGUAAUCGUAGAUCAGAAUGCUACGGUGAAUACGUUCCCGGGCCUUGUACACACCGCCCGUCACACCAUGGGAGUGGGUUGCAAAAGAAGUAGGUAGCUUAACCUCG
rnacentral:rRNA from 1 species